GACGAACGCUGGCGGCGUGCCUAACACAUGCAAGUCGAGCGAGAGACUUCGGUCUCUAGCGGCGGACGGGUGAGUAACACGUGGGUAACCUGCCUCGUAGUGGGGGAUAGCCUUCCGAAAGGAAGAUUAAUACCGCAUAACAUCAAAUUGCCGCAUGGUAGUUUGAUCAAAGGAGUAAUCCGUUAUGAGAUGGACCCGCGGCGCAUUAGCUAGUUGGUG
rnacentral:rRNA from 1 species